CUUGAUCCCAGGACCCUGAGAUCAUGACCUGAGCCAAAGGCAGUGGCUUAACCCACUGAGCCACCCAGAUGCCCCCAUAUUCCUUAUGUUUACCUCCACACGCUACUUGGUCUCCCAACACGGUGGUUCUGUUCUUUGUACAAGAAACAAAUCGUGUUCUGUCCCCAAGUCUUCAUUCCCCACUGGUCUGUGUUUAUCGGUCCAAUGAGCCUUCAUUACCAUUUAGCUGAUGCUGGCAGGUUUGACAAGCCCUUUGGUGAACUAGAUGAUGUAACAAAUAAUUAUUCCUUUUCCCCCAGUUCCAAGCUGAAGGAACCACUAAGACCCACAAAAUGGACAAGACCCACUGAUAGAUUAGAUGUUCAUUUCCGCUGAAGGCAUUAGCAGGUCUGGCCUUGUAUCACUUCGUGAUUAAUGUUUGUUGUAACGUGUUCUUUGGAAAGAAAAUAAAAUGAGGAAGAAUUUUCUCACAUUUGAUCAGAAUGAACAUAAUUAAAAAGUCAAAUGUUACUGGGUUUGGGAAGAAAUCAAUCACUGUAAUUGGAAAGAAGAUUCCUUGCCUCCGUCGGUAAUUGGACUCUUGGUAAUUUAGAUUCGGAAUUCAUGACAGUUUGUGAUAAAUUGGCUCCUGUUGGGCUAAAGAAGGUAAGAAGUUCUAAUUACCCCUGGAUUAUUCCAGAGUGGAUGGAAAAGCUUAAAUACAGAAGGAGGUGCUGGGGAAGAGAUAGAAAAGCCAACAGCGAGCAAAGAUUUAUUGAAUUUCUUUUUAAGAAGGAUAAAGAAUAAAAUGGUUCAUUUGAUGUGACUAAAAAAAGAGC